UACGUAGGGUGCAAGCGUUAAUCGGAAUUACUGGGCGUAAAGCGUGCGCAGGCGGCUUUGCAAGACAGAUGUGAAAUCCCCGGGCUCAACCUGGGAACUGCAUUUGUGACUGCAUGGCUAGAGUACGGUAGAGGGGGAUGGAAUUCCGCGUGUAGCAGUGAAAUGCGUAGAUAUGCGGAGGAACACCGAUGGCGAUGGCAAUCCCCUGGACCUGUACUGACGCUCAUGCACGAAAGCGUGGGGAGCAAACAGG
rnacentral:rRNA from 1 species